rnacentral:pre_miRNA from 1 species
AUGUUACCAUGAGUUCCCUUCAAAUACUUCACAUGAGGCGCCAUUCAAAUAACUCAUUUCAAGAUUAUGUGUAAUGCGAAGUGUUUGGGGGAACACUUGGUGACAC